rnacentral:rRNA from 1 species
UCCGUAAGGUGAACCUGCGGAAGGAUCAUUACUGAAUUGUCAAACGGGUUGUUGCUGGCCCUCAUAGGGGGCAUGUGCACGCUCUGUUUACACAUCCACUCACACCUGUGCACCCUCUGUAGUUCUAUGGUCUGGGGGACCCUGUCUUCCUUCUGUGGUUCUACGUCUUUACACACACACUGUAACAAAGUUUUAUGGAAUGUACAUCGCGUCUAACGCAAUACAAUACAACUUUCAGCAACGGAUCUCUUGGCUCUCGCAUCGAUGAAGAACGCAGCGAAAUGCGAUAAGUAAUGUGAAUUGCAGAAUUCAGUGAAUCAUCGAAUCUUUGAACGCACCUUGCGCCCCUUGGCUAUUCCGAGGGGCAUGCCUGUUUGAGUAUCAUGAACACCUCAACUCUCAUGGUUUGCCAUGAUGAGUUGGACUCUGGGGGUUUUGCUGGCCUGUGGUCGGCUCCUCUCAAAUUAAUCAGCCUCCCAGUGUUUGGUGGCAUCACGGGUGUGAUAAAUAUCUACGCUCGCUGUUGUCUGCCAGGUAACCUUUGGUCACAAAGGUUUGCUGGAGCUCACAGAUGUCUCUCCUCAGCGAGGACAGCUUUUUUAACGUUCGAUCUCAAAUCAGGUAGGACUACCCGCUGAACUUAAGCAUAUCAAUAAGNCGGAGGAA